GACGAACGCUGGCGGCGUGCUUAACACAUGCAAGUCGAACGAAGUGGCGAACGGGUGAGUAACGCGUAAUCAACCUGCCCUUCAGAGGGGGACAACAGUUGGAAACGACUGCUAAUACCGCAUACUGAAGGAGGGGAUUGCGGCUGAUUAGCUAGUUGGAGGGGUAACGGCCCCCCCAGGCGAUGAUCAGUAGCCGGUCUGAGGGGAUGGACCGCCACCAUGGGACUGAGACACGGCCCCAGCUCCUAAGGGAGGCAGCAAUGGGGAAUUUUCCGCAAUGGAGGGAAGUCCGGCGGAGCAACGCCGGGUGAGUGAUGAAGGCCUUCGGGUUGGAAAGCUCUGUUAAUCGGGACGCGGUACCGGAAUAGAAAGCCACGGCUAACUCCGUGCCAGCAGCCGCGGUAAUAC
rnacentral:rRNA from 1 species